UGACCCAUGCGCAAACAAGAGAAAGUUCUAAAAUUUUGUCUUAUCUCUGUUGACGGGAAAAUAAGGAACAAUAUUUUGAGGAUUUAUAUUAUUGAAGUGAUGGUGCACGAAGUCUUUAUGAUAGUACACAUUAUGUUCAUGAAGAGCCGAAGAAAGACUAUUUCUUAGACAGAGACAUUUUAAAUUGGUUCUAUUUUUGCUUGACGUUUCAAAAAACAAAUAGACCUUUAGAUAUCGACAUAGUGGAGCACAAAAGUAUUUGAUGGUACGUCAAGACCAGUGUUGCCGUUUUAGGUAGGUUCCUACCAAAAUUGGUAGCUUUUUAUUCUCUUAGUAGGUUGGUAGGCUAACCUCAAUUUUUGGUAAGUUUUUCCAAAAUAUAAAUACCAAGUAAAUUACUGAAAAAAUCACAGUGAUUAACUCAAAAUUAUUUUACGUGUUCUCGUUUCUGCGUAUUUGUGCAAAAUAAGACCAUGGAUGAUGAGGGACCUAAAACCGUUACAUGGUGUCGUAAUGUUUCAAAUUUCAGAGAAAAAAAUCGUACAUAGCCCUUUCGCCAUUUUUGACUGCAAUAGAUGCUUGCAAUAGGAGAUUGGAGGGAACUUCUUCAGCCCUUCUAGUCCCCAUUAUUGUCAUGGAUGUUGGCUCCUUAUCUUCUUCAUUCUAAUAUUUGGCGUACCGCCGUAAAUUUGUCUUCGUUCUUCAGCGCUUUUUUAAUCAAUUUCGCCUUUGAAGCGCCAAAGGCAAUAGUGCAAAGGCAUGCAAAUGUGAUUCAACAACAACCAGGGGUCACUAUUGUCAAGUUUUUUGGACGGGGCAUUGUCUGCUGAGAUUGCAAUCAUCGGGUAUGUGAUCGCAGAUUGGUCAAUCCCAAGGCGGUUGUGCGUACAGGAUUGACCCGAUGAAGUCCUCCAUCGGCAAGGGCUGUCGCCUCAGUGUACAACACACUGCUACAACAACAAGGGCGCCACAAUUUGAUGCUAGCAGCUGGGAUAAAUACUUAUUCCAUAGCAUACUAUCUGAAUCUUUUACCAGAUUUCCUUGUUUGUCUCUGCAGAAUGAUGCGUCUGUACUUAAACCAUUGGUUUGAUGUAGAAAUAGAAAAGAAUAGGAAAGAACUCCUCCGAACUGUUCAAUAUCAAACGAGGUUUCGGACAGACAGCUUAUCGUGUGAUCUAUUUAAUAGAUUAUACGAGAUGCAGAUGUGAUGGGUCGAACACCAGCCUUUGUAAAGAUCGUCUGUAAAAGUCAGUAAAAGUGGGUCUGGCGGUAAUUGGAGAUAGAACAAAGUGGAUAAGAACGACCAAACGAAGAAAAUUUGAGAUGGUAACCUAUUUUAUCUCCCUUGGCACCAACGAAAACGAAACGAAUGACACCAAUUUUGAAAUAAAAAGUAAUAUUGGCUAACAGAUGCUACUUUGGAUUGAACAAACCGUUCAGAAAUAAAGCCAUUUCACGACAUGAAAAUUA
rnacentral:sRNA from 1 species